rnacentral:rRNA from 1 species
UACAGAGGGGGCGAGCGUUGUUCGGAAUUACUGGGCGUAAAGGGCGCGUAGGCGGCCCGCUAAGUCGAACGUGAAAUCCCCGAGCUCAACUCGGGAACUGCGUCCGAUACUGGCGGGCUUGAAUCCGGGAGAGGGAUGCGGAAUUCCAGGUGUAGCGGUGAAAUGCGUAGAUAUCGUAAGGAAGACCGGUGGCGAAGGCGGGUCUCUGGACAGUUCCUGACGCUGAGGCACGAAGGCCAGGGGAGCAAACGGG